rnacentral:rRNA from 1 species
AAAGGGAGGCGAAGCCGCGAGGCAGAGCGAACCCCAAAAAGCCGUCCCAGUUCGGAUCGCAGGCUGCAACCCGCCUGCGUGAAGUCGGAAUCGCUAGUAAUCGCGGAUCAGCAUGCCGCGGUGAAUACGUUCCCGGGCCUUGUACACACCGCCCGUCACACCAUGAGAGUCGGGAACACCCGAAGCCCGUAGCCUAACAGCAAUGAGGGCGCGGUCGAAGGUGGGUUCGAUAAUUGGGGUGAAGUCGUAACAAGGUAUC